CCCUUAGAUGUUCUGGGCCGCACACGCGCUACACUGACAGGUUCAUCGAGCUUCAUGCCCUGAUCUGAGAAGAACGGGAAAUCUUUGAACACCUGCCGUGCUUGGGAUAGAUGUUUGCAAUUAUUCAUCUUCAACGAGGAUUGCCUUGUAAGCGCACGUCAUCAGCGUGCAUUGAAUACGACCCUGUAUUCUGUACACACCGCCCGUCGCUCCUACCGAUUGAAGUUUUCGGUGAAUUUACUGGAGAUCCCUUUUGAAGGUGGUUCGCCACUGGAAGAAGUAUUCAAAAGUAAAUGAAUCGAAUGCUUUAGAGGAAGGAGAAGUCGUAACA
rnacentral:rRNA from 1 species